rnacentral:rRNA from 1 species
GAUGAACGCUGGCGGCGUGCCUAAUACAUGCAAGUCGAGCGAUCAGAUGAGGAGCUUUCUCCUCUGACGUUAGCGGCUGACGGGUGAGUAACACGUGGAUAACCUACCUAUAUUACUUGGAUAACUUCGGGAAACCGCAGCUAAUACCGGAUAAUAUAUUGAACCGCAUGGUUCAAUAGUGAAAGACGGUUUUGCUGUCACUUAUAGAUGGAUCCGCUCCGCAUUAGCUAGUUGGUAAGGUAACGGCUUACCAAGGCGACGAUGCGUAGCCGACCUGAGAGGGUGAUCGGCCACACUGGAACUGAGACACGGUCCAGACUCCUACGGGAGGCAGCAGUAGGGAAUAUUGGGCAAUGGGCGAAAGCUUGACGGAGCAAAGCCGCGUGAGUGAUGAAGGUCUUCGGAUAGUAAAACUCUGUUAUUAGGGAAGAAAAAAUGUGUAAGUAAAUAUGGACGUCUUGACGGUACCUAAUCAGAAAGCAACGGCUAACUACGUG